GCCCAGGUGAUGAAAUUGGUAGACAUGCUAGAUUUAGGUUCUAGUGCCUUAGCGGCGUGAGAGUUCGAGUCUCUCCCUGGGCACCA
rnacentral:tRNA from 1 species